GAGCACCAUGUCAGCACUCAAAAAGUUUUGGAUUUUGGAACAUUUCAGAUUUCAGAUCUUUGGAUUAGGGGUGCUC
rnacentral:pre_miRNA from 1 species